rnacentral:rRNA from 1 species
GUCCUUUUGAAUAUUUAUUUAAGGUUUAACCUGCCCAAUGAAAAAUUUAAAUGGCCGCAGUAUUUUGACUGUGCAAAGGUAGCAUAAUCAUUAGUUUUUUAAUUGAAAGCUUGUAUGAAGGGUUGGACGAGAUAAAAACUGUCUUAGAUUAAUUUAUUUUAGAAUUUAAUUUUUAAGUUAAAAAGCUUAAAUUUUAUUAAAAGACGAGAAGACCCUAUAGAUCUUUAUAUUUUUUAUUUUAAUUAAAUUUUAGAAUUAAUUAUUAUUUAAAGUAAAAAUUAUUAUAUUGGGGUAAUAUAAAGAUUAAAAAAAUUCUUUAUUUAUUUAUACAUUAAUUUAUGAUUAUUUGAUCCAAUUUUAUUGAUUAUAAGAUUAAGUUACCUUAGGGAUAACAGCGUAAUUUUUUUAGAGAGUUCAUAUCGAUAAAAAAGUUUGCGACCUCGAUGUUGGAUUAAAAAUUAUCCUAGGUGCAGAAGUUUGGGAUUUUGGUCUGUUCGACCAUUAAAUUUUU